rnacentral:rRNA from 1 species
GAAUAUUGGACAAUGGGGGAAACCCUGAUCCAGCCAUGCCGCGUGUGUGAAGAAGGCCUUCGGGUUGUAAAGCACUUUAAGCAGGGAGGAAAGGGGCAAGACUAAUAAUCUUGUCAGUUGACGUUACCUGCAGAAUAAGCACCGGCUAACCUCGUGCCAGCCGCCGCGGUAAUACGAAGGGUGCAAGCGUUAAUCGGAAUUACUGGGCGUAAAGCGCGCGUAGGCGGUUUGGUUAGUUGGAUGUGAAAGCCCAGGGCUCAACCUUGGAACUGGAUCCAAUACUGCCAGGCUAGAGUACGGGAGAGGGGGGUAGAAUUCCACGUGUAGCGGUGAAAUGCGUAGAGAUGUGGGGGAAUACCGGUGGCGAAGGCGGCCCCCUGGAUCGAUACUGACGCUGAGGUGCGAAAGCGUGGGGAGCAAACAGG